rfam:Gossypium raimondii Chr07_contig_320, whole genome shotgun sequence.
AACCCAUGGUAAGGGCAAUAUCUCAAUAAGUCCUUAUACCUCUCUUAUGCAUCGUAUAAGGUCUCUAAGUCGAUCUGAACGAAGGAAGAGAUACGAUUCCUCAACUU